AGGCCUCCUGGUUUGUGCCAAGGUUAAGUUUGUGGACUUCCAGCUGAGGCACGUGAGCCCAAGAUCUCCACCUGCUGAGGUAAUCAGCCAGCCCAGGCCUACAGGUAGCUGCAAGAAGCUUAACGUGUGGAGAAACUAACUUCUCCUUACAAAGAUAUGAUUCUAACUAUUUCGACCAGACUGUCUUGGGGCCCUACCUCUCAGGAACUGAGUGCUGGAAAACCUCCACUGGAAAAAAACAAAAAACCAAAAAAACAACAACACCCUUUUAAAAGAGAGGAUAUCAGAAGUAUACAUCUUUUAUCCAUGCCCCACACACUUGCAUGUGAAGGGAGAGCACCAGCUGUUUUUCUCAUGGAGGCACUAUGGAAAACACACCUCUCAAACUGGGGCUCACAGCCAGGACAACUGGUGAUGGUGACACAAAAAAGCAACUCAUCACAGAGCUUACUCACCUCAAUGACUAAGUCAUUCUGCAUGACUUCAUAAUCUAAUGCAUCCAGAUAAGCUGCAAACAAAUGGAGGAGACAAAUUAUAAUAAAAAGAUGGU